UACGGAGGGUGCAAGCAUUAAUCGGAAUUAUUGGGCGUAAAGGGCGCGUAGGCGGAUUUUUAAGUCGGAUGUGAAAUUCCGGGGCUCAACCUCGGAGCUGCUAUUUGAUACUGAAGAUCUGGAGGGUAGGCGGAGAAAGCGGAAUUCCACGUGUAGCGGUGAAAUGCGUAGAUAUGUGGAAGAACACCAGUGGUGAAGACGGCUUUCUAGCUUAUUCCUGACGCUGAGGCGCGAAAGCAAGGGGAGCAAACAGG
rnacentral:rRNA from 1 species